UAAUUCACACGCAGAAAUCGACGGUUUGCAGGAAGUCGUCCAUGCCGCGGCCCAGGUCGCAGCCAGGCAUCUCCGGGAAGACGUCGUUGAUGUCGUCGAGGUCGAGGUCAAUCUCCAGCUCCUCAUCCCCGAAGUCCCCAAGCAGGAGGUCCUGUUCGUCGUCCAGGCAGAAGGCCGCGUCCGAGACGUCCAGCGCGUCCAGCCCGGCGCGGAAGUCCAUCGGGUCGAUGUCGGGCAGCUGCAGGCCGCGCAGAAGGUCCUGGUAGAACUCUGGGUCGUCCGGCAGCUGCGCAGCAGAUUCAGUGGACGGCGGCAGGACGACGGGUGUUGGUGUCGCGACCGGCUCUGGAGACUCGGGGUUCGGCGCUGCUGCCUUGGUGGUGGAUUCGAGCACGGACGACGGCGACGGGUGCGCGAACGGAGCAGUCGAGGUGGACGACGAAGAGGACGC
rnacentral:lncRNA from 1 species